UAGUUUGGCCGGUGGGGGCGUUUACCACUGCAGACAGCAAAUUCUUCUGUGAGUGGGAAGAUUUACCCAGUGAUUCCGCCGACUAUUAAUCAAGUCAAUCCUGUCGAGACCCAAUGUUAUUGAACCACACUUCAGGUUACUACACGUCACUUCGCUUCAAAAGUUCAGUCAUUGUGCAUUGCUUUGCGCUUUGCGCAUUAAACGUCAUGGUAUCAUAA